rnacentral:lncRNA from 10 species
GUGAAGGAGAGUGGGAAGAGCAGGGCAAGGAAGCUAUUACUCACUUCCAUGAAUACAGGAGCUAGACAUGGAUGGGUUAACUUCAGUAGUCCAUGUCUUGCUUGCUGUGAUAGAUGGGAAUUUACCACAGCAACAAAAAGCCCUGACUGCCCUUGUGCAGGCCUUGGGGAGCUUGAUGUGGACAUCCUUCCAUAGGCCUGGAAGCUGAGCAUUUAAGGCUGGGUACCCUCUGGUCUGGCCCAGAUGUGAAUCCCACUUGGUCCUUGAAAAAGUGGCCUGGAAUCCAAGUGAAGCAACUGCACCGUGGAGGAGGCCUCCAGUGGUUCCAAUGGAGACCAGGAGCCCAGUUUAGUAGGAAGAUUCAGAGCAAGCCACUGAAGGUUUACAGAAGCACAAUGGCCUUGUUUUUGCUCUUCUGAUGGUAGACUGCAUCCACUGAUGAACCGGCAGCUAGACUGGGGAGAUGAGGUGUGUUUAUGGUGAUCCUGGAAAAUCAGGGAGGGGCAGGGAGUGGAAACACUCCAAAUAACACUCCAAAUGAGGCUUUGCUGGCUCCUUUAGUUUUCCCUUUUACUCCAAACUACAGAAGUCCUAAAAUGGGAAGGAGAAUGGUGAGAAGGAAGAGGGUACUGGCCUAGUUAGAGGACCAGAUUUAUUUUGGUCAAAAAUUGACGUUUUUCCUCUCCUGAUGCCUUUAAACCAAACACUGCUCCCCAAAAGCUGGGGCUUUUUAGGCACUUGACCAGACUAGGAAGAUUCCAAGACUGAGAUGCACAGUGAGCUUAGGGGUUGCCUCCCCAAUCUGGGACUCGGCUCACUUAUUGCAGACCCUGUCUCCCAUGCCUGGUCCUGAGGACAUCUGGAGAAGAUCCCUCACCAACCAACAGGUGGCUUCAGGUGGUGGGGGUGAGCAUCCUGGGAAACCGGGGCCUGGCCCUCUUGGAGGGACAUCAGGGUGGGGAAUACAUUUUCUUUUCAGAGACUCAAAGAUCCUUUGGGAGGUGGGAGGGAAAGAUGCGAGAUCUCUGUUUGAAAAUAUCAGUUUGCGUUUAGGUCUUGCUGCUACAGUACGUUUUCCUCUCCUCCCUCCCAGAAGAUAGCCUGGCCUUUGUGUUCCCAGCCAGCAUGAGGGACGCUUUGUGUGGCUCUGCAGGAAGUAUCCGUUGCCAGGCACCCAGAAGACACCCCUCCUCCUGGCUUUUGUUUUGCCUAGGCCUGGGCUGUUGGAGGGGAAUUGUGCUGCCUGAGAGGGACAGAGAAUGAUGCUGGAUGCUUCAUACCCUCGAUCACUGGACUCCAGGUUCUUCAGCUUUUGGACUCUUGGACCUACACCAGUGGUUUGCCAGGGGCUCUCGGGCCUUUGCCACAGACUGAAGGCUGCACUGUUAGCUUCCCUGCUUUUGAGAUUUGGGGACUCGGACUGGCUUCUCUGCUCCUCAGCUUGCAGACGGCCUAUUGUGGAACUUCACCUCGUGACUGUUUCUGGUGACUGGAAGUUCAAGAUCAGAGUGCCAGCAGAUGCAGGUUCUAGUGAGGAUCUUCUUCCUGGUUGCAGACACUGACUUCCUGUAUCAUCAAAUUAUGGAAAGAAAAAAGGUAGGUCAUUGGCCUUUCCUUAUAAGGUCACUAAUCCCCUUCAUGAGGGCUCCACCCUUGUGACCUAAUUACCUCCCAAAGUCCCACCUCCAAGUACCAUCACACUGGAGAUUAGAUUUCAACAUGUGAAUUUUGAGGGGAAAAAAUAUUCAAUCUAUAACAGGGAUCAAAAUUCUGUUCUGAACCUCUCUUCCAUGUGAGAUUGGAACUAGAUACAAGUGCUUGUUAUUUGUCAAAUAUUUGUGAUAUCUUCAACUCAUUUCAUAUUUAGAAGGACAAUUUUUCAACAGGUGGAAAUGAAAUAUUUAAAAGUGUGAUUUCAUAACAUCCUAAGUUAAACACAAAGAAAUGACUGAGAUUGCCAGAGAGCAGGAGCAAAUGUUGGUUGUGGGCACACAUACUCAUUUGUCCAUUUUACAGAAACAUGUAUUGUUAUCUUCGUGUGGAUGUCACAAAGUAGAAGUCUGAUAGAAUAUCUUUUGCCAAGUUGACUUUUGAUCCUGACUACUUUGGAGUCAGUUAUGUCCAGGUCCUUAUCAUCACAGCUGUUCAUAAUUACAGCAUCCCAAUUAGUCUCUCUUCUCCAGUCUAUCCCCAAACUAAUCCAUCCUAUAGAUUGCCAGAAGGCUAAUUGUCCUAGAACAGCGUCAUGUGCCAUAUUGCAUUGUUUUGGUCAAUGACGGACCUCAUAUGCAACAGUGGUUCCCUAAGAUUAUAAUGGAGCUGAACAAUUCCUAUUACCUAGUGACAUUGUAGCACAACACAUUACUCACAUGUUUGUGGUUAUGCUGGUAUAAACACGCCUACUGAGGCCCGGCGCGGUGGCUCACGCCUGUAAUCCCAGCACUUUGGGAGGCCAAGGCGGGCAGAUCGAGACCAUCCUGGCUAACACAGUGAAACCCCGUCUCCACUAAAAAUACAAAAAAUUAGCCAGGCGUGGUGGCAGGCGCCUGUGGUCCCAGCUACCCGGGAGGCUGAGGCAGGAGAAUGGCUUGAACCCGGGAG